rnacentral:lncRNA from 1 species
UAUUUCCAGGCGAGAAUACACGGAGGAUCCUAAACUCUGGCGGUGGAAAUCAGAGUUCAUCGCCGCCUCCUGAAGGUGGAAUCCAAAGGCCUUUUUAUCAUCGUCAUAACCGUCAUCACGAUGCUUAUCCCAUCAUCAUUCGGAGUCCUUCAGAUCCAUCUGGGAUGUUUAAGGGCGGGGCAAUCUCUUCAACCGCUUGCAGUCUGAAGUCAACCCUCGAUCAUAAACAUGAGAUGCUCUGCCUAGAAGUCCCACCGCGUCAAUGGGGGAGGAAAGGAGUGAUUAAUCGGUUCCAGAUGAAAGGGGAAAUACUCCAAUCUGGCCAUUGCCCAAGAUCGAAUCCAAAGCAGCCCAUCUGAGUUUCCGUCAAACUCGAUUCUUCAAACGAGAUCAAAAGUGGUCCGCAGGCAUCCAUUUUUUUUUAUACCAAAACUGGGUUGCUGAUUAUUUGAUUUCUCCGUUUGUAGAUGCUUCAAGAUGCUCCGUGUUCAUCUGGAAACAUUUCUUCGAGUCUAUGCUUUCUGUUUCUCUCAUCGCAUUUCUUCGUGUUCAUCUUUUUUUUUUGCCUGUCGAAGGGAGGAUUCUUGGAUUUUCUGCGGAAUUAUACAGCCUGUAUGAUUUCCUUGAAAUUUUUUCUCUUAUUUACAUGAUUCUCCAAAGACUACGAUCAUCGAAACAAAGCAGAAUCGUUUUGAGCAAAAUCAAGACCGGUAGCUCCCAUCCUUCUGGAAGCUACCGAUCUUGAGCUCUGGGAAUGAGCUUUUCUUUCUUGGGCAUUAAAGAUUUUGCUCGAAUCAUUGGCUCUUAGUUCCCCCACAAGGUUUAUCGGUGUGUAAGGUUUAUUUUAUGGCCUAGAGGAUCAAAAUGAGUAGCUAGGCAGGUUGACUCAGCAAAAGCGUAGUGGAAGUAUGAUUGUCGGGUCAACCCAUGUACCAGGUGGGUUGAACCAGACACAAGAAUAUGUUUCAAAAGUGGCCAGAUGGGUCAACCCAGCGAGGUAAAACACCAUGCGCUCGUUCCUAUUCUCCUUCAAAUAUGACACAAAAUAUAUUCACGGGUUCUCCAUCUGCAAGACUGGCUGGUG